rnacentral:lncRNA from 1 species
GCUCAAAGAGACAUCACCUCUGUGUAUUUUUCUACCCUGAAAAAAAUACUAACUUAAUUAACUGUGUUUUCUCUGUUUAGUGUGCCAAAAUUUUGAGCUGGUGUGUGGGCCACAGGAGGUGUUCUUAGAUUGAUGAGAGUGAAUUGUUUGAGAACUUCUGAGUUGUGAUAAAAGGGAGAGGAACCUGCUCUUUAAGAAUCUCUAACAACUACGGGGAAAGUGUGACAACAAAGGUUUGUUUGUGCAGAAAAGUAGUGAGCGCAGAAUUUGGAUUGCUCUCCACAGAAGUCUCCAGGAAUAUUUACAGGUACCCUUCUUGAAGCAAGCUGAGGCCCUGAUCUUUACAACAUUAUUGCAGGA